AGACGUGGGUGGCUGUACUUCUGAAGGAGAGUGCUAGCUAUGAUUAUGCAUCAGCCUUGAUUGCUGAGGUGCUGACACGCAUUCAGGAGCGCAGAAGGGAGUCUGGAGCUGUGGCAACUCUGCCAACGCUGUCAUCAACAUAUGGUGAGAGGCCAAGCCUUACAGAAGCAGUCCUGAAGCAUCAGACAAGGUUCCAGAAAUGAGGCUCCCACGUGCAUCACACACUGAACGUUGCACUGAAACUAAGCUAAAAAAAGGCCCUUUUCGGGGCCACCACAAGGUUUAAGCACUGCUCGUAUGGAAGAAAAGAACAUGUUACCACCCUGUCAACAUGAAC